AGCGAACGCUGGCGGCAGGCCUAACACAUGCAAGUCGAACGAACUCUUCGGGGUUAGUGGCGGACGGGUGAGUAACCCGUGGGAACGUGCCUAUUGGUUCGGAAUAACUCAGGGAAACUUGUGCUAAUACCGAAUGUGCCCUUCGGGGGAAAGGUUUAUCGCCAUUAGAGCGGCCUUCGUCUGAUUAGCUGGUUGGUGAGGUAACGGCUCACCAAGGCGACGAUCAGUAACUGGUCUGAGAGGCUGACAAGCCACACUGGGACUGAGACACGGCCCAGACUCCUGCGGGAUGCAGCAGUGGGGAAUCUUGCGCAAUGGGCGAAAGCCUGACGCAGCCCUGCCGCGUGAAUGAUGAAGGUCUUAGGAUUGUAAAAUUCUUUCACCGGGGACGAUAAUGACGUUACCCGGAGAAGAAGCCCCGGCUAACUUCGUG
rnacentral:rRNA from 1 species